AGAUUCGUGUGCUCCAACGUGAUCUAGCCAAGGAAUUGUGCUCCAGCCCAAGCAAUUGCAUGCCCUAAAAGCCCAGCAACCAAGCAGCAGCGGGACCCUCGCCUCGCGUCACAUAUUUUCAGCCCAUUAUUUCCGCUACAGUUCGAAAAACAGUAAUAUCCCCCUUUCCAUUUUCUUUCUCCGCCACGCACGGGAGAAAGUGAGAGAGAAGGAGCUUUCCCCUAUCGGUGAGGAGAGAGAAGGAGCAUAUAGGGAAGGAGAGAAGGUGGCGGCGACGCAUCAGCAGGGGUGCUAUGCUGUCGUCGUCUUCUCCGGCGGGAGGAGCCCUCGUGCUACCCUUGGGCUUGGCAGAGAGCGCGGGGGAGGAGGGUCGUUGUGUUUUGUCUGCGAGACACGUUUUGUUGUCCCCACGGCAGUCGGGGAGGUGCUCGUGGCGAUUCCGGCGAUCGUCGGCGAGGCUUCCAUGGAGCCAUUCGCGCACAGUGGCGAUCCCUGCGUCGGUGGUUGAGAUGACCAAGUCUUCUCAACCGAUUCUCAUCAUGAAUCCCAGGAUUUCUCAACUUGUGGCAAGCAACAAAGAGUCCACAACGAUUCACAAGACCUGCUGUGGGUAAACUGAAGAUAAAUUCUGAUGGAGCAUAUAUAGCUGAAACAGGGGAAGGAGGAUGGGGUUUUGUAAUUCGGGAUUCGGAGGGAGAGGUUAUCCUGUCAAGUGCUGGUAGAAUAUCUUAUCUGUUGGAUGCUUUCCAGGCGGAAGUUGUUGCGUGCUUGGCCGGAGCAAGGGCCGCGAAUGCACUAGGAAUGGGCCAUGUCGUUUUUGAAACUGAUUCCAUUAUCUUGAAGCAAGCUAUGGAUGCCGAUGAUCACAGACUUGCAGCAACGGGUGGCUUGAUUUAUGAAUUGAAGAAGCUGAUCGGAAGUAGUUUCCUUUCUUGUUCCUUUGUUUUUGCGCCACGAGAAUGUAAUAGAGUAGCGCAUGCUUUAGCAGCUUUGGGUUGUAAAUGUCCUCGGAAUACUGUUGAACAAUGGGACAUGAUGCCUCCGGGCAUGGAGGACUUGGUGGCCAGCGAUUUUGCUGAGUCCUUAAGUUAAUGGAAAGUUCUUUUCCUCUCAAAAAAAAAGGAAGCCACAUGGUUUCUGAUAUUUGUGUGUUGAUUCGAAUGGGGAGUGAUGGUGUGCUAUCUUUUUUCCUCAGACAAUGUGCUUUCAUAUCUGAGCAAGGGUGAUUUGUGGAAUGAACAAAGUUAUAUGUCUUAGACAUCGUGCUUUCAGAUCUGAGCAAGGGUGAUUUUGUGGAAUGAACAAAGUGAUAUGUCGCUGUGUUUUCAGAUCUGAGCAAGGGUGAUUUGGCAUGAACAAUUGUGUGUACUUUUCUGAUUUUGUGAUGUCAAUUCAGCAUUUAGAUUUUCUAGUUUUCAGAAAUGUAUAUUGUUUUGCGUCUGUUGUGGAACUAGAUAAAUAAGCGCGGCUUCACUCCGCGUCCAUCAAUGUGUACAUAGUGUUAGUCGAAAGUAACUAAACAAGCUUUGCCAAAUCAUAAGACUUGAAAUCUCUUCCAAAACAUAAGCUUAUAUCCAAGACCGUCCUUCCAUCCUGUAAUCAAA